UACAUGUGUUGUGGGACAUGAUUGACUGUCCGAUUCCGGAGGGGUAUGAUGCUCGUCGGGUCCGUCCAAGUAUAGAAAGGGCGUUCAAGGAAAUAGGCUACUCUGGUCCUGUCUCCAUCACUGCCUUUGCCGACCAAAAACAAACACCUGUUCACCACCUUCUUGCCCUCUCUUCUACUGGAGUCGAUUUUUCACAUACCCUUCCCUGUUAGUUAGUCUCAUCUCCCUGCUGUUAUUUAAUUAUUAAGGUUUUAAUUUUCAAUUAAUUUUCUUUUGUGUGAAACAGGGGUCCAUUACAGUCGCAUGAUUACAGAUUUUGAGAAAUGGACAAAAGAUAAUCCUGCUCCGGCUUCGAUUAUGAUCAUAUCGGAUGAAGUCGCUUCCAGCAAGGACCGUUCAACACUUAUUUGCCGGAAACUACAAAAGAGUAACUACAACUGUUUUUUGGCUUAUUCAGUUAGGCCUUUUGAAAUGCCUGUCCUGGUCACUUCUGCUGAGUGGCUCUGGGAUAACUUACUUGCAGGUGUUUCUUCUCUCAUCUUCCAUUACUACUACACUACCACCAAACUACUUAAGCUGAUCUUUUUUUUUCUUCCCCAGUUUCAGAGACAAAAAGACACAUUCUUCACAAGUGCAGUGAAAGUGAAAGGGUUGUUGCAUCAUCUACCGGAAUGUUUUGUUGCACAUUGUGUUUAUGUGAUUGCAAAAGCCUCGAUGAUUUCAAUAAGCAUCUCUCAAGUAAAGAUCAUACACAGGAAGUACGCGCAUCCUCUCCCCUCUCCCUCUCUAUCAAUAAUACCUGUUUAACUCUUUCUACUCGUUGUCAAACAGGAGAAGAGAAUGACUUCGUAUGCUCAAUCUGCCCCUCGCCGGCGAAGGCUUUAUAAAAUAUCCAACUACUAUGAGGAGGCAAGUUUUUUUUCUUAAUGAUGAUAUAGAGAUUCUCAACAGAGUAAAAUGUAAAUACAUGUCCAAAUACUCAUAUGUUUCACUUCAUUUAUACUUGUUGUAGGUAGGAUAUCCUCCCAAGACCAAACGUAUGAGGAAAGCAGCCCUGAAGGGUUUUUUUCUCCCUAGACCAUUACGUUUUACUAGACGUUGACAUUGUGUUUACUAAUGUGAAGCUCGCUCUCAUCUUCCUUUCUAGUCUUUUUUUUUUUUUUUUUUUUUUUUUUAAAAUUUUUUUUUUUUUUUUUUUUUUUUUUUUUUUUUUUUUUUUUUUUUUUUUUUUUUUUUUUUUUUUUUUUUUUUUUUUUUUUUUUUUUUUUUUUUUUUUUUUUUUUUUUUUUUUUUUUUUUUUUUUUUUUUUUUUUUUUUUUUUUUUUUUUUUUUUUUUUUUUUUUUUUUUUUUUUUUUUUUUUUUUUUUUUUUUUUUUUUGAAACACUUCCUUUCUAGUCUAUCUUUCCCUUUUGCUUGUUCUCAAAUCAAUGCUUGUAUAUAGAUAUAAAUUAAACUUAAUGGUGUUUUUUUUCUUCUAUUUAUUGAAUUUCUGUUUAGUACGGUUAUGAUUUCAUGUGCAAUUUAAUCAUUGGGAUUUCAUGUGCAAUUUAUUGAAUUUCUGUUUACUACCUGUUUUAAAAAUAUACUUAUUUUUUGAAUUUGAAUUUUUUCGAAAACUACACUUUUCAAAUGUGGUUAAACAUUUUCAUCCAAGUAUAUUAUUAUUAUCUCUAUAUCUUUCUAUUUAUAUAAAACCAAUGCUACACGGAAGAAAUGUUACGAAGAGUAAGAAUUAAGAAUGAUUCAUCUACUUGAGGACAAUUCUGAUGGAGAGAAGGAAUAGAGAAGCAAAUCCAGUGAGGUCGACCCACGAACCAUUUGCUUACUGAGGGUGUUGGUUCCAGGCCAGAGGCGAAGAUGGUACAUCUGGUCAGUGCUACCUGAGUACCUGGUCCUCUCAGUAUUCAAGAAAGAACCUGAUAUCAUAUACGCCCUGCAUAUACAAUGACAAGAUUCUAAUCAGAUAAAAACAAUCCAGCAAAAGUACCGCACACAAGGACACGAAGUUGUAAUACCUCAUACGUAACAACUCCAGUAGGAUUGUUAGGAUCGUCAGAGUGACGAAGCACCGCAAUAGAUACAGCUCCUGAAGCUGAGAGAAUACAAUACUCCAGUGGUCGUCCUUGAUGCGUAAACGCCACUAUUUUCGCAGCUAUGUCCUGAGUAUUAAUGGAAAGGUCAUAAGUUUUAACUAAAAUGUUGCCAAGUUCAAGAUUAAAGAUUUGAACCCACGCGGUGGUUGUAGCUGCUGCUGUUGGUUGGGUUCUUUAGAAUCCUCCAUGGAAGAUUAGAGAAAGAAAAGGAGGAAACUUUGUUGGAGAGACUCUGUUUUUGAGGAUAUAGACGCGAGAGAAAGUUGAGGUUUUUAAGUUUUAAGCGAAAGCGUGUGAGCCAAGCUAACAUGAGUUCUUCAGGUAUAUAUAGUGAUACUACUGUGAGAGAGAGACGAUUUGUAAAAAAAUACAAUAUCAAAUAUUUUUUUUGAAUUUAACCAUAUAUUAUUACUAUUUGUAGUUACAUUUAGUAAUUUUUUGUAAAUCUUAUUUAAUUGCAUCAUCCAAGAUUAAUAUAUGGUGUGAAAACAUAUAUAAAGGGGUCUCCGACGUCUCUUUUGUCGAUAAAAGAAUACAAAUUUUGUGUGUGUUUAACCAAACCAAAAGAAAUUUAACCGAACCAACACUAAACCAAAAGAAUUUUAACCUAACCGGAGAAGUUACUGGACCUAUAAAUACAGAUUUUAUCGGUGAGAAUUGACAAAAAAAAAAGAAAGAAAGAGUUAAACCCCUAGCGACGUCGUCUCUCCCUCUCUCUGGCGAGUCAGUUGCGACCCGCCGGAGAAAUCCUCGACGUUUGUUUCAGAUCUCUGUUCGAUUUCAUUUCUUUUGCAUUUUUUCACGUCGUCGUCGUUAGUGUAUCUCCGUCGUCGUCGUUUGUCUAAAAAAAGGUUACUUCUUUUUUUUUUUGUCGUCGUCAGGUCUCUGUUUCACGGCGAACCAUGGGGAAGAAUCCGAAGAAGAAGAAGGAGAAGCCAAUCCUUUCCAAAGAGGAGAAGGAUGCUAAGAAGGCGCUCAAGAAGAAGAAUCAGAAAGAGAGGGUGAAGAAGAAGACGGAGAGGAAAGAAGCGAACAGGAGGAAGCGUGUACAGGAAGAAGAAGAAGACGCACAAGCAAGCCCUAGAUCUACUGCGUCUACCUCAAAGAAGAGGAAGAAGAGUAAGCAAGAAGAAACCGAGGAAAGCUCUAUAUCUACUGCCUCUACCUCAAAGAAGAUGAAGAAGAGUAAGCAAGAAGAAACGGAGGAACGCCCUAGAUCUACUGCAUCUACCUCAAAGAAGAAGAAGAGUAACGAAAGCCCUAUCUCAAAGGCUGAGAAGAAGAGGAUAAGAAAGAUCAAGAAACUGAAUAAGUUGAGGAAGCCUCUGAUACUAACCAAGGAAGAACAACGUAGGGUCAAUAGACUGAAGAGUAGGAAAACCAUUGCUUGGUGGGACUAUGAAAAUCUUUCAUAUCCUAAGGUUGGAGCGUUCAAAAUGAUUGAGAAUAAGCUCAGGCGUGAGGGCUAUACUGGUGAGCUUGAGCUCCAUGCCAUUGUGGGGUACAAGGGUGAUGAAGAGCCAACACAGGACAAGACUUUCACUAUGCAUUACGGUGACCUUAAUCCUAGUAGGCCUUUUUUUUUCUAAGCUUUUCGUUUUCCAUUCUCAAUCUUAUAUGUACUUAUGUUUAUGUGUGUUUGGUGCAGGACCAAAGGAGGGGACUAAGGCUGAUCAGAAAGCAGAUGAUCAUAUGAGAGAGCUGAUUCGUAACUUUCUUAAAGAUAAAAAAAGGGCUCCUCAGAACACGCUUCUCAUCACAAAUGACAACGGUUUCAGGGAGUUUAUGGAUCUUCUGAGAGACGCAGGACAUGGUGUAUUGUUAGCGACUACGCAACAGUCUCUGAUUAUCAAAUCGGGAAGCCACAAAGUCUGGUCCUGGAAAUACGACAUUGUCCAAGAAGACUAAGUAAGAAUUCUUUAUAACCUGCCUACUUGGUUUCCUGUUUCAGUCUUUUGACAGAUACAACUACAGUUUUAGGUUCUAGAUGAACCAAGUUUUUGUUGUUGUCUGGAUUGAGUUUUUGUUGUGGAUAAACGCAGGUACAAAUCUAGGGAGAAGCAACGAAAGCAGAACAUGCAAGCGAGGAUAGAGAGAAAACGGCAACAUGCACAUAUCUUUUUAGUUUCUCUGUCUUUGUUGCAAUGUCGCUGAUAAUCUUUCUAAGAAACACAAAGUAGAUAGCCACUUGUUCUUUUUUUUGUUGUUGUUUGUUUGUUUGUCAGCAGCCACUUGUUCUUGAUGUAAAAAAUCACCGUGAGAAACUGAGAAUGUAAAGGUCGGAUUCAUGGAAGAUUAGAGAAUGAAAAGGAUGAAAAUUUCUUGGAAAGCUUCUGUUUUUAUGAGUUUUAAGCGAAAACGUGUGAGCCAAGCUAACAUGAGUUCUUCAGAUAUACAGUAACUUUUUUGUUUUAGUCGCAGUACUAUAUGUAUAUGUUAACAACUAGACUGCGAGGAAUUAGCUUUGUAAAGCACUUGUUCCCACGGUUCUUUUACUAAACUGCUGUGAAUAGAUUUUUAUUAAAUAAGCUUGAUUGCUUUAUAAAUCAUGCUGUAGAUCUAAAUAGUGAUGUGAAAAAAAAUAAAAUAAAAAAUAAAUAGUGAUGUGUGAUUCAGGGAGCGACAAACUAAAUAUUUUUUAUUCUAGAUUUCCAAUUUUUCGGAAAAAGAAAAAGGAUUGGAUAUUAGGUAGGUAAAGCCCACACAAAUCCUAGGUAGGCCCAUUAGUUUGGUGUAUAUAAAACAAAACCUAGUACAAUCGAUGGAGGACUUGUGUCUGAGAUAGAUUUUGUUAGAGAGGAUGUCGGGAACGGAGACAGCUAAAAUAGAGGUGUGGUGGGACAUGAAUGACUGUCCGAUUCCGGAGGGGUAUGAUGCUCGUCGGGUCCGUCCAAGUAUGGAAAGGGCGUUCGAAAAAAUAGGCUACACAGGUCCUGUCUCAAUCACUGCCUAUGGCGACCAAACAAAAACCCCUGAUCACCACCUUCUAGCGCUCUCUUCCACUGGAGUCGCUGUUGUACAUACCAUAGCAGGUUAGUCUUUUUCUGAUGUUAGUAUAUUAUUAUAACAACCAGACUAGACAUUUGUGUUUUUUGAUCGAUCCAUUCACCUGCACAGAAAGCACGCGCUCAGUAAUGUAUCGGGAUAUGGUGGAGUGGCGAGGUCAAAAUCCACCUCCGGCUACAAUGAUGAUCAUAUCCGAUCAGGUGGAAGGUGACUUCUCCUGGGAUCUGGCCCGUCUACAACAGCGCAAUAGAUACGACCUUUUUCAGGCUAAUUCAACGAAGAGUCGCGAUGAUUUACUCCUUGUCUAUUAUGCAAAUUGGCGCUGGGAACAAUUACUAGAAGAAGGAGGCGCACCACCCCCUGUGGCGAAUGGAUUAUCAUCUGCUGCCAUGUUUUAUUGCAAAUCGUGCAAUUUCGAUUGCCAAAGCCUGAAUAAAUUCAGGAAGCAUCUCUCCAGUUAUAAGCAUGGAAUGGAAGUACGUAAGCAAAGCAUCCUCUCCCUCUCUCUCUCUCAAAUACUUUUGUUUCAUAAUCUGAGCAACAAACUCUUUUGUCAAGCUCAGGAGGCUAUAAACCCUCCGGACACACGACUCUCUUGUGUAACGAAGACGUGGGCAAGGAACUACCAGGCCACGCCUGAACACGCCACAGCUGAAAUACAUGUGUUGUGGGACAUGAUUGACUGUCCGAUUCCGGAGGGGUAUGAUGCUCGUCGGGUCCGUCCAAGUAUAGAAAGGGCGUUCAAGGAAAUAGGCUACUCUGGUCCUGUCUCCAUCACUGCCUUUGCCGACCAAAAACAAACACCUGUUCACCACCUUCUUGCCCUCUCUUCCACUGGUGUCGAUUUUUCACAUACCCUUCCCUGUUAGUUAGUCCCCAUUCCCAUUCCCCUGCUGUUAUUUAAUUAUUAAGGUUUUAAUUUUCAAUUAAUUUCCUUUUGUGUGAAACAGGGGUCCAUUACAGUCGCAUGAUUACAGAUUUUGAGAAAUGGACAAAAAAUAAUCCUGCUCCGGCUUCAAUUAUGAUCAUAUCGGAUGAAGUGGCUUCGAGCAAGUACCGUUCAACAUAUAUUUGCGGGAAACUACAAGAGAGUAAUUACAACUGUUUUUUGGCUUAUUCAGUUAGGCCUUUUGAAAUGCCUGUCCUGGUCACUUCUGCUGAGUGGCUCUGGGAU
rnacentral:lncRNA from 1 species